rnacentral:lncRNA from 1 species
AAUUAAAACAAACUUUUUGUAUUAUCUAGAGUCUCUCGGUAAGAAUGAAAAAAAAAUUGAUUUUAAGUUUUUCAGCUCAUAUUAAUAAAAUGAUUUUAAGUUUUUCAGCUCAUAUUAAUAAAAAGUUUUGUUUGAUAAUUAUGUUUACCUUUUAGUUUGUAGCUCUUUUAAUAAUUUAUAGCUUUUAAAUUUAUAGUUUUUACUUUGUUAUUUUUUCUUCUAUUUUUAUCUUUAUUAACAAAAAUUACUU